GGAUUCUAUUCCACUUUAAUAUUGAAGGUGAUGUUUCUUGUUAUCAGUCACAUUAAUAUGUAAAUUUUCCCAUUAAAACUAUAGAGAAAUUGACUAAUUUGAGAUAAGGGAUGAUUCCCAAGGUUCUUAAAGAUAUUAGAAGGCGUGACAAUUCGGUUGGUAAAAGAUUAAAGCAUUACAAGUCUUGAUGUGCCCACUAUUCAACACUACAUUAUAACUAGUUUAAAGCUCCAAUAUAAUUCUUUCAAGAUUUACAGGGAUUGCCAGCGGCUUGCGUUAAACACUAGCACCCUGCAACAAAGUUCGGUUUGUAAAUCUCCGGCAAUCUCCAUUGAGUUUUCGGCCACCAGCUACAGCUGAAUAUUUAUUAAUCAUAAUUUUUUGCUA